AAUUUAUCUAUCACAAACAUUUUCGGUUUUCCUAAACUAAAAAAAAGGUUAGGACUUAUUUUCAACAUUUAUUUACCAUUAAUUAAAAUAGAUCGAAAUUUCAUUUCUUUUUUAUUUUAAUUCACAUUAUUUAGUGCAAGGAUUAAAUUUAUUUUCAAAGAAGAAAUAUGCAAAGAGACAAAUAAAUAAAUACAUGAAAAAUUGGUAAGCAGAACUAGCGUUGUGGGAUGAAUCAAAACUUGAGUUAAAGUCUCAUGAGACUCCUUGAAAGGCGUUGGUUGAUAUAUACAGGAGGACAGUGGUCAUAGAAGUUGGAAACCGCUUAGGCCGACCACCUGCCAAAUCAACUAGCCCUGAAAAUUGAUGGCUCUUGAGCGGGAGACUUAUACUCAACCGUUGCAUGGCUUGUGUUUUAUUUUGAGAAACCUGGCCGCAACGAGUAAGAGGGUCGCAAUGGUUAGCGUUGAAGACUUUCGGCGUAGGCCCGGUUGAAGCUUCCAUUGGUGCAGAUCUUGGUGGUAGUAGCAAAUAUUCAAGUGAGAUCCUUGAAGACUGAAGUGGAGAA
rnacentral:ncRNA from 1 species